GAUGAACGCUGGCGGCGUGCUUAACACAUGCAAGUCGAACGGAAAGGCCCAAGCUUGCUUGGGUACUCGAGUGGCGAACGGGUGAGUAACACGUGGGUGAUCUGCCCUGCACUUCGGGAUAAGCCUGGGAAACUGGGUCUAAUACCGGAUAGGACCACAUUUUGGAUGGUGUGGUGGAAAGUUUUUCGGUGUGGGAUGAGCUCGCGGCCUAUCAGCUUGUUGGUGGGGUAAUGGCCUACCAAGGCGUCGACGGGUAGCCGGCCUGAGAGGGUGUACGGCCACAUUGGGACUGAGAUACGGCCCAGACUCCUACGGGAGGCAGCAGUGGGGAAUAUUGCACAAUGGGCGCAAGCCUGAUGCAGAGACGCCGCGUGGGGGAUGACGGCCUUCGGGUUGUAAACUCCUUUCGCUAGGGACGAAGCGUUAUGUGACGGUACCUGGAGAAGAAGCACCGGCUAACUACGUG
rnacentral:rRNA from 1 species